UACGGGGGGGGCAAGCGUUGUUCGGAAUUACUGGGCGUAAAGGGCUCGUAGGCUGCCAACUAAGUCAGACGUGAAAUCCCUCGGCUUAACCGGGGAACUGCGUCUGAUACUGGGUGGCUUGAAUCCGGCAGAGGGGGGUGGAAUGCCACGUGUAGCAGUGAAAUGCGUAGAUAUGUGGCGGAACACCGAUGGCGAAGGCAGCCCCCUGGGCUGAGAUUGACGCUCAGGCACGAAAGCGUGGGGAGCGAACAGG
rnacentral:rRNA from 1 species